GGUGGGGGCGGGCUUGCUCGCGAUAGCGGUGUGUCAGAUACGUAUAAGGUGACUGACACAGCGUUAUCGCGAGCAAGCCCGCUCCCACA
rnacentral:misc_RNA from 1 species